CCUACGGGUGGCAGCAGUGGGGAAUCUUGGACAAUGGGGGGAACCCUGAUCCAGCGACGCCGCGUGAGUGAAGAAGUAUUUCGGUAUGUAAAGCUCUAUCAGCAGGGAAGAAAGAAAUGACGGUACCUGACUAAGCAGCCCCGGCUAACUAAGUACCAGCAGCCGCGGUAAUACGUAGGGGGCAAGCGUUAUCCGGAUCUACUGGGUGUAAAGGGAGCGUAGACGGCGAUGCAAGUCUGAAGUGACAGGCGGAGGCACAACCCCCGGACGGCUUUGGAAACUGUAUGGCUGGAGUGCAGAAGAGGUGAGUGGAAUUCCUAGUGUAGCGGUGAAAUGCGUAGAUAUAAGGAGGAACACCAGUGGCGAAGGCGGCUUACUGGACUGUAACUGACGUUGAGGCUCGAAAGCGUGGGGAGCAAACAGGAUUAGAUACCCCGGUAGUC
rnacentral:rRNA from 1 species